AGACGGAGCUCGCGGUGAGGAGGCAUGGAUGAACCCACUUAUGGGACUUAGCAAAAGCAAAGGCUCCUCAGGUAAGUCCAGCUCUUCAAUUCGGAAAACCAAGAGUAAGAGUCAGGACAGACAUGCGGACAGGUCAACAAGCAGCCGGCCUAGCUCUAGUUCCAAUACUUCCAGCAUUCAUGGAUCUAUAAAAACAAGUUUGAAAUCUCCACGGAGUAUUAGUGAAACUGGUAAACAGCACAAGUCGAAAACCUUUGUUAUUCCCCAAAUCAUCGUUACUCGAGCUUCCACCGACCUGGGUAUACCACCAGAGGAAGAAGGGCAAAAGACCAUAAGGGACAAGAUGGACUAUGGUCCCUACUACCGACACAGGAACCCCAGCACUGUUGACGCGUACACUAAAACCCAGCCUGAGGCUCCGAAACCCAAAUCAUUCCUGUAGUGGUCCUCUGAGACUCAAUGCCAUCUUCAAGAUGUGGUUAAAGCACUUUGGCCUCUUCUCUGGCAAGCAGGCUUGGCCUCACUUCUCCCAAUGCCACAUGCAGCUUGGAGGAAAGCAGGAAUGACUUUGGAAAGUGAACUAGGAAGCUUUGUUUAAAUAAAUAAAG
rnacentral:lncRNA from 1 species